AUAUUCUGCAGCACACACAUACAGAGUCACUUACGGUACACUAAAUUACAUUGUAAUCUAUUCACUGUGCUUGGUUUUUGUUUGUAUAUAGGUGUGUGUGUGUGGUGUGAGAGACCUGGCGGUUGCUCUGGUACUCAGGAUGUGUGUGUCUGGGCUGAGCAAGCUGAAGAAUGCGAGGAGAGGCUACUGCAUUCUUCACUGCAGAGCUGAUGUGCCACACAGGACAGCUGUGCUCACAUCGUUUUGUAACUUUCUCGGUGACGUCAUACCUCAGUACCUGAGGGCACCUGUGACGAAAAUUGGGCGUUGCCAAGCGCGAGACCUGCUCAUACUGAGAUGUGGCGGGAAGACACGUGCUCCUCAUCUUCGCGGCUUCUUUGUGAUCUUUUCUGAGGUAAAAUACAGUGCGCGAGAGGGUGAGAGGAAGCUAAUCAGUGUGGAACGCCAACGGGGCCAUAUUUCGCCUCAAAGAAGCGCACCAUUUUUAGUCACUGUAAUCCGAUCAAGAAGAUCAACUCAUCAGCCAAUCAGGACAUGAUGCGUUUACACUUGUCAACAUCACAUGGCUGCUGUAGCUGGUUAUCUGUUCGGAUCUCUCUUUCAGUGCAAAAUCUAAACAAAUCUGCAGAGGAAAAAUGGCUCGGCAAAGCUUACCUGAAACGGUGGUAGAAUCAGCAAGUGGAACCACCGUUUCCAAAGCGCCUGUUACCUGAGCUACAGGUGUCACAUGGCUCUAAG